AAUCAUCGAUGAUGAAUUUGAAUUUCCGUGUACAAUUGCAAACUGUACAAUUGUUGUGAAACUAAAAUUGAAGAGCAUACCGUUUAUAUAUGCCAACUGAGAAAAUUCUGGAAAGGAGAAAGAAAGAUCGAUGUUUCCAUCGUUUCCGAAGCGAGUCACUUAAGAAAACGGCGUGAAGAAUGAUUUAUAGUGGACAGUUUUAGACUUUCACCGACAUUAAGAUUCACCUGCCUGCAAGAGAGUCGACUUUCAUGCUUGUCUGGAGCGGAAAAAAUACGGAGUAACCAGGCCAACGGUGUGUGAAUCAACAAGGCGCGAUCUCCGGAUUGUUUUUAGAUCAUUUUCAACGAUAUCUAACUGUAAAUUACUGGAACGGAUCGGCAACUGAGGAAAAACCAAGGACUGAGUUCUGCAUCAUUGAUGAUUAUCGGCGAUAUAUGGCCGAGUCUCGUAACUUCACGGAGGAUUUCCAUACGAUAAAUGCUGCUAACUUGCUUCCUACACUGAUUUCCACGAACAUUGUGUUCUUGAAACGUCGUCAUUGUGAUUGUGUAUGUCUUAUGUUCA